CCUACGGGAGGCUGCAGUGGGGAAUAUUGGACAAUGGGGGGAACCCUGAUCCAGCCAUGCCGCGUGUGUGAAGAAGGCCCUCGGGUUGUAAAGCACUUUCAGUGAGGAAGAACGCCUGGUGGUUAAUACCCAUCAGGAAAGACAUCACUCACAGAAGAAGCACCGUCUAACUCCGUGCCAGCAGCCGCGGUAAUACGGAGGGUGCGAGCGUUAAUCGGAAUUACUGGGCGUAAAGCGCGCGUAGGUGGCUUGAUAAGCCGGUUGUGAAAGCCCCGGGCUCAACCUGGGAACGGCAUCCGGAACUGUCCAGCUAGAGUGCGGGAGAGGAAGGUAGAAUUCCCGGUGUAGCGGUGAAAUGCGUAGAGAUCGGGAGGAAUACCAGUGGCGAAGGCGGCCUUCUGGACUGACACUGACACUGAGGUGCGAAAGCGUGGGUAGCAAACAGGAUUAGAUACCCCUGUAGUC
rnacentral:rRNA from 1 species